GACGAACGCUGGCGGCGUGCUUAACACAUGCAAGUCGAGCGGUGAGGCCCUUUCGGGGGUACACGAGCGGCGAACGGGUGAGUAACACGUGGGUGACCUGCCCUUAGCUCUGGGAUAAGCCUGGGAAACUGGGUCUAAUACCGGAUAUGACUCCAUAACGCAUGUUGUGGGGUGGAAAGCCUUGUGCGGCUAGGGAUGGGCCCGCGGCCUAUCAGCUUGUUGGUGGGGUGAUGGCCUACCAAGGCGACGACGGGUAGCCGGCCUGAGAGGGCGACCGGCCACACUGGGACUGAGACACGGCCCAGACUCCUACGGGAGGCAGCAGUGGGGAAUCUUGCGCAAUGGGCGAAAGCCUGACGCAGCGACGCCGCGU
rnacentral:rRNA from 1 species